UACGUAGGGGGCUAGCGUUAUCCGGAAUUACUGGGCGUAAAGGGCGCGUAGGUGGUUUCUUAAGUCAGAGGUGAAAGGCUACGGCUCAACCGUAGUAAGCCUUUGAAACUGGGAAACUUGAGUGCAGGAGAGGAGAGUGGAAUUCCUAGUGUAGCGGUGAAAUGCGUAGAUAUAUGGAAGAACACCAGUGGCGAAAGCGGCUCUCUGGUCUGUAACUGACGCUGAGGUUCGAAAGCGUGGGUAGCAAACAGG
rnacentral:rRNA from 1 species